UUUCUUAACACGAUAUCCAUGGCUAGCCACUGUUUCUUAACACGAUACCCAUGGCUAGCCACUGUUUCUUAACACGAUACCCAUGGCUAGCCACUGUUUCUUAACACGAUACCCAUGGCUAGCCACUGUUGCUUAACACGAUACCCAUGGCUAGCCACUGUUUCUUAACACGAUACCCAUGGCUAGCCACUGUUUCUUAACACGAUACCCAUGGCUAGCCACUGUUUCUUAACACGAUACCCAUGGCUAGCCACUGUUUCUUAACACGAUACCCAUGGCUAGCCACUGUUUCUUAACACGAUACCCAUGGCUAGCCACUGUUUCUUAACACGAUACCCAUGGCUAGCCACUGUUUCUUAACACGAUACCCAUGGCUAGCCACUGUUUCUUAACACGAUACCCAUGGCUAGCCACUGUUUCUUAACACGAUACCCAUGGCUAGCCACUGUUUCUUAACACGAUACCCAGGGCUAAUUUGUAUCUAACUAUUGUUGUGUCUCUGUGUUUCAGAUCUUCUAUGACCUGGUCAGGCAAAUCAACAGGAAAACCCCAGUACCUGGGAAGACACGCAAAAAGUCCAACUGUCAGCUCCUCUAAUACACAGCUGCUCUGUCGCACUGAGUCAGGUCUGAUUUGCUGCUGUCUCUCUCAGCAGUGCCAGCAUUCCGACGUUACUAAAACCUAACAUGGAAUGGACUUUCCUGUGUGGUGACGCCCCUUUAACAACAACCAACCAACCAACCAACCAACAAACCAACGGAUUCAAAGCUACAAUACAUCAGUUUUUACACACAGAUUAACCAUUAUCACUUUCCAGUGUCACGAGAACAAGAUUUCUACUUACAAAUAUAUAUAUUCUAACUGUAUGCAACUGAAAUGGAAAAAUUAAGGUCAGAAAAUAAAGUAAAUUUAAUAAAUAAAAUUGGUAAAUCAGUCAAAAUGAAUCAAAAUAAAAUCCCGAUCCCUACACACAGUGUUAUUGCUAACGGAGACAGUAGCCGUAGAAACGGAUGUCUAACCAGAAUGUGCACGUUGCCAUGGUGAGUAGCUACAACGAUGCGGUAUUUAUAAGCACCUCUAUAUUAGCCAGAGAAAAAAGUCCCAAAGAGCAUCUAUAUAGUCCGGUUCAUACAGCUAACUUGCUCCUGUGGUUUAUUUUCUAACUUUUUAUUUGUACCUUUUUAUAUUUUCCUUCGAUCAUUCAACAUCAUUUUUCUGUCUUUUUAUUUCUUUUUAAAUGACUAGUUUUGUCUCUACUGAGAGAUGCUAUACUGCGACAGCUAUUGCUAUGAGUUUUAUUUGAGGAGUAAACCUGUGGAUACAACAGUGAUUAUUAUUAUUAUAUGUGAGUUUUAUUUGAGGAGUAAACCUGUGGAUACAAAAGUGAUUAUUAUUAUUAUUAUGUGUAAAAAGAAAAAAAAAGUAUGGUGUUUUUUCAGUAACUAUCAUAUUGUCUUUUAGCCUGAUGAUGUUGCCUUCAAAUAGGUUUUUUUUUGUUCUGGAGAAUCCAACUAUGAUCCAAUCAUCUUUCUUUCUGGAGAAUCCAACUAUGAUCCAAUCAUCCUUCUAUGUCAUGCCUGGGUUUCCUUGUGUGCGUCUGAAAUGGCACCCGAGUGUACUACAUUUGACCAGAGCCCAAUGGGUGUCCCUAUUGGUUUCCCUAUAGGCCCUGGUCAAAAGUAGUACACUAUAUAGGGAACUAGGGUGCAAUUUUGGAGGCAGCCCUUGUGUUGUUUACAAAGAUGUUUGUACAGUGGGGUUUUUCAAUUGGGGUUGUGGUCAAAGAGGGACUGGACAUUUUAACAAGCUACCAAACUUCUGAGACACCAAUGGCCAGACGUGACUGGGCGAUCCUCAUCAUGUUUUUUUUUACUUUAUCCUUCCAAGGCCGUCUCUCAUUGGUUGGUUUGUCCAGUUAGCCAAUCCCCUCUCAUGGAAUCUGCGAUCUACAACAGGAAGUAUAGAUUUUUAAUACAAAAAAAAUAAAGAACAACAUGUCAUUGGUGA